rnacentral:lncRNA from 1 species
AUUUUCCUCUAAGAUAGGUUCAUUAGGAUAAAGAGCAUUCAUAAUAUCAUCAUCUAAUCUAUCACCUACUGCAACAUCAUGUAGAAAUUCACUAUCACACUAUCAAGGAUUACUAAGGGUUGAUUAGGACAUCUAGGUUGGCUACUACUUUCAACUUGCCUAUCUUUUUUAGGUCGGGGAGCCGGGGGAGGGGUAGUAU